UUAAUUUAACAAUUCUGGAUAUUUUUCAUAUUUAGUUUGCGUACAACAAUUAACAACUUUAAGCUUAUACAUUAACUUUAGUUAUAACUUAAUUAUUAAUGAUUUGAUUUAUAGAUUUUUAAAGCUAUACAAGAUUGAAUUUAGCAGAAGGCUAAAUUACUGCUCUGGAGACAAAAAAGGAAGACAGCGAAAAUGACCAGUCAAAAUAAAGAUUAAAGAGACAAAAAAUUGUGUAUAUCUUGGUGUAGAUGAUUUAUCCUCUACACCUCAUUUUCUUAUAAUAAAACAAAAAAUGUUAUUAAACUUAGGGAUUUACCUGUAACUCCAAACUCUUUACAGAAGUUCAAUGUUUGCUCUGAGAAGUUGAAUGAACAAAUUUAUUAAAUGAUAAAGUUGUAUCCUUGAAAGAUAUGCUGGUAUUAUUGGCACAACGGGCAAGCAUUGAAGUGCAACUUGGUGAACUACAAAACACAUCAAAUUCAGUUAUAAAAAUUUGAGUAACAAAGGUAUGCUAAUUAUUGUAUUGCCUGAAAGAGUGUCAUUGCCAUUAAAAACAGUAAAGAAUUCAAGUACUCUAGAAGAAAGAAGACAAAAAAAUACUUUAGUAAAUGGUCAAUUAUUUGGCACAAAUCGGAGUUAAAGACAAAGGAGAUUGUAUAUUUUAUUUGCUAAGAAUAUUUUUUAAAAUGGCCUAGCUGUAAAAUUAAACUAUACAGGGAGAGGACAAAAAAUUGGAAUAGGAAAAAUGUUGAUUGCAUAUGUUGCUAUCAACAAGUCAAAUAAGCAUGGCUUAUGCAGACAUGUGAUAGAGAUAGUGGGAGAAAAAAUAAUAAUAGUGGGUACCAAAUAUCAUAAGCUAAACACGAUUCAAUAACAAGUAGCUCAGCCAAUAUCGAAACUACUUUAUAAAUUUUAUAGUGAAUUUUUUUAUUUGAAACUCAAUG